rnacentral:rRNA from 1 species
UGGGGAAUUUUGGACAAUGGGCGAAAGCCUGAUCCAGCAAUGCCGCGUGUGUGAAGAAGGCCUUCGGGUUGUAAAGCACUUUUGUCCGGAAAGAAAUCCUUGGCUCUAAUACAGUCGGGGGAUGACGGUACCGGAAGAAUAAGCACCGGCUAACUACGUGCCAGCAGCCGCGGUAAUACGUAGGGUGCAAGCGUUAAUCGGAAUUACUGGGCGUAAAGCGUGCGCAGGCGGUUUGCUAAGACCGAUGUGAAAUCCCCGGGCUCAACCUGGGAACUGCAUUGGUGACUGGCAGGCUAGAGUAUGGCAGAGGGGGGUUAGAAUUCCACGUGUAGCAGUGAAAUGCGUAGAGAUGUGGAGGAAUACCGAUGGCGAAGGCAGCCCCCUGGGCCAAUACUGACGCUCAUGCACGAAAGCGUGGGGAGCAAACAGGAUUAGAUACCCUGGUAGUCCACGCCCUAAACGAUGUCAACUAGUUGUUGGGGAUUCAUUUUCCUUAGUAACGUAGCUAACGCGUGAAGUUGACCGCCUGGGGAGUACGGUCGCAAGAUU